UGCAACAGCUCCCUGCACAAAGCCAUUCUCAUUCCUUCCAUCCACUGGCCACAGAGCUAUCUGUUGCUGCGGUCUUCCAAAUCUGACCAGGCCACUUCUUGAUGCACAGAACUGCCAGGAUGGUGGGGAGUUUAUAAAACUGCUGAGACGCAACCCGGAACCUCAGAAGUCCAUUAAGUGACCAUGGAGCUGAUACGCAACCCACUAUUAACUCCCCGGAGUGAGCUGGAUGCUAGAGAGUCGGGAGGGAAGCAUCACCAGAGUGACUGACUCAUUCCAACUAGGGGUGAGGUCAUGAGAAGGUUCCCAAAGGGGCCAUUUUCCCUGUUGGAUGAGUUGAUCUUGUCAGGAAGAGAAGGGCAACUGCAUUGUGUCUUAUUGGCUCCUAGAAAAUACUCAUCUCAGCUCUGCCUGCCCCAAACAGACUCAUCCUUCCAGGCCCAUUAUCCUGCCCUACCCCAAUCCCAUACCACUUGCCUUGACGGGAAUAGACAGGAGUGAAAACCGGGACACUUAAAAAACACUCAAGGUGAUAGAGAUUCAUUUAUUGAUCUUUUGAAUAAAAUUAAUUAAUGUAA